GCUCAGAAACUCAAAGGAAUUGACGGGGGCCCGCACAAGCGGCGGAGCAUGUGGAUUAAUUCGAUGCAACGCGAAGAACCUUACCUGGGUUUGACAUACACCGGAAAACCGUAGAGAUACGGUCCCCCUUGUGGUCGGUGUACAGGUGGUGCAUGGCUGUCGUCAGCUCGUGUCGUGAGAUGUUGGGUUAAGUCCCGCAACGAGCGCAACCCUUGUCUUAUGUUGCCAGCACGUGAUGGUGGGGACUCGUAAGAGACUGCCGGGGUCAACUCGGAGGAAGGUGGGGACGACGUCAAGUCAUCAUGCCCCUUAUGUCCAGGGCUUCACACAUGCUACAAUGGCCAGUACAGAGGGCUGCGAGACCGUGAGGUGGAGCGAAUCCCUUAAAGCUGGUCUCAGUUCGGAUCGGGGUCUGCAACUCGACCCCGUGAAGUCGGAGUCGCUAGUAAUCGCAGAUCAGCAACGCUGCGGUGAAUACGUUCCCGGGCCUU
rnacentral:rRNA from 1 species